GUCACCUCUGAGUGGACUUCCUGAACUGCACUUUUGAAAGAAAAAAGUAUGGUAGAGUUCUAAAAUCCAUGUCAAGGUGAAAGCCUUCAUCAGGUUGCAGAAGUGUGCCGUGAUACAGUGUAUUUGCCAAAUAAAGCGGUUAGUCACGCCUCUAGGAGUCAGCACGAUCCCUUUUGCAGCGCACACUAUUUCCGCCUUCGGGGGAGCGAAAUCCAGAGUCACCAAUAACUUUUCGUGGAGAAGUUCGGCUGGGAGAGACACAGACGUACCGGUCCGGGGAACCUGAUUUAUGCCUCCCAGUAGACUUUGAAGGUUUUGCGGUAGAGUAAGCGCGGAAUGCACAGCUGAAACUGGAAGUUUAGCCCACCGUCGAAAAACAAACAGUUGGUGAAACUUCAUGGGACAGCAACUGCACUGAUUUCCCCCGGAAUCGUUAUUCCUGUCAAACUUCAACCAGGUUUCCUGAAUCGUCCAUCGUCCUGUUUGCCUGAACUCACAACUGAUUUAUUGGAGGUAACAGCUGGAGAAGGAUAGUGAUCGAACACU